GAUGAACGCUGGCGGCGUGCCUAAUACAUGCAAGUCGAGCGAACGGACGAGAAGCUUGCUUCUCUGAUGUUAGCGGCGGACGGGUGAGUAACACGUGGAUAACCUACCUAUAAGACUGGGAUAACUUCGGGAAACCGGAGCUAAUACCGGAUAAUAUUUUGAACCGCAUGGUUCAAAAGUGAAAGACGGUCUUGCUGUCACUUGUAGAUGGAUCCGCGCUGCAUUAGCUAGUUGGUAAGGUAACGGCUUACCAAGGCAACGAUGCAUAGCCGACCUGAGAGGGUGAUCGACCACACUGGAACUGAGACACGGUCCAGACUCCUACGGGAGGCAGCAGUAGGGAAUCUUCCGCAAUGGGCGAAAGCCUGACGGAGCAACGCCGCGUGAGGGAUGAAGGUCUUCGGAUCGUAAAACUCUGUUAUUAGUGAAGAACAUAUGUGUAAGUAACUGUGCACAUCUUGACGGUACCUAAUCAGAAAGCCACGGCUAACUACGUG
rnacentral:rRNA from 1 species